UCGAGUGGCGAACGGGUGAGUAACACGUGGGUGAUCUGCCCUGCACUUUGGGAUAAGCCUGGGAAACUGGGUCUAAUACCGAAUAUGACCACGCUCUUCAUGGGGUGUGGUGGAAAGCUUUUGCGGUGUGGGAUGGGCCCGCGGCCUAUCAGCUUGUUGGUGGGGUAAUGGCCUACCAAGGCGACGACGGGUAGCCGGCCUGAGAGGGUGACCGGCCACACUGGGACUGAGAUACGGCCCAGACUCCUACGGGAGGCAGCAGUGGGGAAUAUUGCACAAUGGGCGCAAGCCUGAUGCAGCGACGCCGCGUGAGGGAUGACGGCCUUCGGGUUGUAAACCUCUUUCACCAGGGACGAAGCGCAAGUGACGGUACCUGGAGAAGAAGCACCGGCCAACUACGUGCCAGCAGCCGCGGUAAUACGUAGGGUGCGAGCGUUGUCCGGAAUUACUGGGCGUAAAGAGCUCGUAGGUGGUUUGUCGCGUUGUUCGUGAAAACUCACAGCUUAACUGUGGGCGUGCGGGCGAUACGGGCAGACUAGAGUACUGCAGGGGAGACUGGAAUUCCUGGUGUAGCGGUGGAAUGCGCAGAUAUCAGGAGGAACACCGGUGGCGAAGGCGGGUCUCUGGGCAGUAACUGACGCUGAGGAGCGAAAGCGUGGGGAGCGAACAGGAUUAGAUACCCUGGUAGUCCACGCCGUAAACGGUGGGUACUAGGUGUGGGUUCCUUCCUUGGGAUCCGUGCCGUAGCUAACGCAUUAAGUACCCCGCCUGGGGAGUACGGCCGCAAGGCUAAAACUCAAAGGAAUUGACGGGGGCCCGCACAAGCGGCGGAGCAUGUGGAUUAAUUCGAUGCAACGCGAAGAACCUUACCUGGGUUUGACAUGCACAGGACGCUGGUAGAGAUAUCAGUUCCCUUGUGGCCUGUGUGCAGGUGGUGCAUGGCUGUCGUCAGCUCGUGUCGUGAGAUGUUGGGUUAAGUCCCGCAACGAGCGCAACCCCUAUCUUAUGUUGCCAGCGCGUUAUGGCGGGGACUCGUAAGAGACUGCCGGGGUCAACUCGGAGGAAGGUGGGGAUGACGUCAAGUCAUCAUGCCCCUUAUGUCCAGGGCUUCACACAUGCUACAAUGGCCGGUACAAAGGGCUGCGAAUCCGCGAGGUGGAGCGAAUCCCUUGAAAG
rnacentral:rRNA from 1 species